UACGUAGGGUGCGAGCGUUGUCCGGAAUUAUUGGGCGUAAAGGGCUCGUAGGCGGUCUGUCACGUCGGGAGUGAAAACACGGGGCUUAACCCCGUGCCUGCUUCCGAUACGGGCAGACUAGAGGUAUGCAGGGGAGAACGGAAUUCCUGGUGUAGCGGUGAAAUGCGCAGAUAUCAGGAGGAACACCGGUGGCGAAGGCGGUUCUCUGGGCAUUACCUGACGCUGAGGAGCGAAAGUGUGGGGAGCGAACAGA
rnacentral:rRNA from 1 species